rnacentral:rRNA from 1 species
GCUUUCCUUUGGGAAUUUUUUCCGCAAUGGGCGAAAGCCUGACGGAGCAAGACCGCGUGGGGGAGGAAGGCCUUUGGGUUGUAAACCCCUUUUGUUAGGGAAGAAAAAAAUGACGGUACCAACGAAUCAGCCUCGGCUAACUCCUGCCAGCAGCCGCGGUAAUACGGAGGAGGCAAGCGUUAUCCGGAAUUAUUGGGCGUAAAGCGUCCUAGGUGGCCCGGCAAGUCUGCUGUCAAAGACCACAGCUCAACUGUGGAAAGGCAGUGGAAACGCAAGGCUAGAGUGCGGUAGGGGUAGAGGGAAUUCCCAGUGUAGCGGUGAAAUGCGUAGAGAUUGGGAAGAACACCGGUGGCGAAAGCGCUCUACUGGGCCGCAACUGACACUGAUAGACGCACAUCAUCGACGGCAGCGAAUGGGAUUAGAUACCCCUGUAGUCA